rnacentral:rRNA from 1 species
CCCAGGUCAGGCGGGACUACCCGCUGAAUUUAAGCAUAUCAAUAAGCGGAGG